GCCGCCGUAGUUCAGUGGUAGAACGCUGUCUUGGUAAGACAGAAGUCGUGAGUUCGAAUCUCACCGGUGGCU
rnacentral:tRNA from 1 species